rnacentral:rRNA from 1 species
GAAUUCGCCCUUAAAGGUUGGUGCUGGCUCAGGACGAACAACUGGUUGCGCUGCUUCACACCUGAUACUCGAUCGAUAAUCACUGGAAGGACUUUUCGGACGACUGAAGGUGAGGACCGUGGCGGACGGGUGAUUUACGCAUGAGGAACCUGCCUUUCUGAGGGGAACUUCUGUUGGAAACAACUGCUAAUACCGCAUGACACAUAGAGAUCGCAUGGUUUUUAUGUCAAAGAUUUAUCAUUGAUACAUGGCCUCGUGUCUGAUUAACUAGUCGCGUGCAGUCACGGCCCUCGCAAGGGUUCGAUCAGUAGCGCGUCCCUGAGCAGGUUGACCGGCCCCAUGUGCACUGAUGAUACGGCCCAGACUCAUACGGGAGUGCAGCACUGGGGACUAUAGGUGCAAUCGCGACGCAAGCUUGACCCAGCAACGCUGCCUGAAGGAAGAAGGCUUUCUGGUAGUAAACUUCUUUUGUAGGCGACGAGUCGAUGUCGUUUCCUCGGGAAUAAGCCACGUCUAAUUACUUGCCAGCAGCCGCGGUAAUAAGUAGGUGGCUAGCGUUAUCCUCAAUUUUUGGGUGUAAAGGGAGCGCAGGCGGGAUAGCAAGUCAUUUGUGAAAACUAUGGGCUCAUCCCAUAAACUGCAGCUUGAAACUGUUAUUCUUGAGUGGAGUAGAGGCAACCGGAAUUCUGAGUGUAGCGGUGAAAUGAUGUAGAUAUUCGGAGGAACACCUGUGGCGAAGGCGGCAUUCUUGGGCUAUAACUGACGCUGAGGCUGGUAAGAGUGUGGGGAGCAUACACAGCGAUUAGAUACCCUGGUAGUCCUCACUGUAAACGAUGAUGUCUAGGUGUGGUGGGUUUGACCCCAUCAGUUCCGGAGUUAACUCAAUUAGCAAUCCACCUGGGGAGUGCGGCCGCGAGGUUGAAAGUUAAAGGAUUUGACGGGGCACCGCACAAGCAGUGGAUUAUUUGGUUUAUUUCGAAGCAACGGGAAGAUCCUUCCCAGGUGGCGAUAUUCGUUUAAGGAGAUAGAGAUAUUUCAGGUGCCGUUCGGGGAA